GGCCGGCGGUUGAUCAGUUGUGACAGCUGCUCUGGACUUAAGAAAGAAAUACAAUAAGCAGAAGCUAAUUCUCCUUAGGCUUCCACCUCAGAAUUAUAAUCCUAUUUAUGACAUCACAAUUGGUUGCUGUGGGAACACCACUGGUAUCAUGAAGAGAGAGUUACAGAGGGAAUAAGCAGCUGGAACAGAUGACCUUUCUUAUACAAAAAUAAGGCUCCUGUUUUCAUACAAAAAACAGGGGUUCCAAAAAAAGAACAACUAAGUGAAGUGCAGAAGAUGCACAUUAUGGUUUCUAAAAAAUGCUGCUCAUUGUCUUCCACUAGCUGUCUUUGAGCUGCUUUUAAAACAGCUAAGUCACACAUAGAAGGGAUGGUUUGCAUGCGUGACUCAUGGAUCCCCAGUUUGGCAUUUUUUCCACUCCUUUCAUGGAUGAGUAUGUACUCUCCUUUCCUAUUCAUAUUGCUGUUUUUUUCUGGGCUUCUGGGAAGGGCAGCAUAAUAAAUAGAUAAUAAAAUGAUGGUGAUAAUUCUAUCACUCAAACUGGCUCUCCCCUUAGAUGAGUGACAGAGCUACACAUUGUUUAUUUAUUUCAUAAAAUGCAUGUGCCAUUUGGUGUGAGUGUUUAAAAAAACCCUCCAAGCAAUUUGCAAAAAGAAUGAAAUUAUUGGUAAAAACAGCUGAAAGCAGUGAUUUAAAAUGUUCCAAAAAUAAUUAAAACAAAUGAGGAGCUAAAGCCCAAAUUAAAACACUUGUCCACAUUCUACAUAACUGGAUAGUAUUGCCUAAACAAACUGGGAUUAUUGUAGAGUGGCUAGGGCAACCCAGCCAGAUGGGCAGGGUAUAAAUAUUUUUAUUAUUAUGUACUGUGGUCAUUGGGAGAGAGUCAACAUAGGUCUGCUGUGUUUCUUAUAAGUUAUAGUUUUGCCUGUUAUAUGGCCUGAUAUGAAAGUAAAUGGACCAUUAACUGUUCUUUAAAUCUGAAGACAGUCUUUGAUUGGAGCAUCACACUUGGGACAGAAACGUUUUUGGUUCUUCUUAAAUUUGUUAGCCUUGAUGCCAGCAAAGCUUGUCCCAAGUUUACCCUACUGGAGUUUGGGCUCAGCAAGUCACAGGUUCAGUUGAACAGGUGUAGAUGAGGCACAAGGCUCCAGGAGCUCCCAGGCGCAGUAAAUGGGGAGGUAGCUGUGCCAUUUUGUUAUCUGACCCCAAGGAGACGUGAUGCGAAUCUUCAAAAUGCAGGUUAAAUAUUACAUUAAGGGAAAAAAAAUUCUAUAAAAGGUCUGAGCAUUCUGAAAAUCCUCAGAAUGCUGUCUGGAAUGAUAAAACCGUACUUAGUAUGAUUUGUACAAGUGCCUUACAGGAAGAAAUUACUCAUUCUCAGAUGAUGGCACUUGAAAACCUCCCAUUAAAAAUGGAAGAAAAAAACAUAUGUAGACUUUAGCUUAAGGUCUGCUUCUAGUUUGGCUUCAGAUUGUUAGUCCAGUUUCUGGACAAAUUAGGAAGGCUGUCUCGUUGAUGCUCAGAUGUUCAAGUGGUAACCAUUCUUUCUCAUGAUACAUACAUAUCCAUUUUGUCUUGUUUCCUUCAAUCAGGCCCAGCAUCAGCACCCUUAGGCAGCUACAGGAGCUCCAGCAUCCUGGCUUGCCUGCCACUUUUAUUUCCCAUAAUGCUUUGCCAGAGGCAUUGUGGGAAAUAAAAAUGGCAGCUCCUUAGCUACCCAGCGCUGGCUCAGAGCACUGCUGUUUUCCUCCCGUUGAGGUAGAAAGGGGUUUCCAAGAAGGUGCUUGGCCAAGCCCCCCCCCCCCGACCCUCAUUUCAGGAAUGAGUCACUGGUGUCCUUCUCUUGCGGGUUUGGAAUCUGAAAAUGCAAAGCCCCUGAGGGGCCAUGUGACAUUUUGGUGACUUGUCCUGUUUUUCCAGGCGCAAGGUUCGCUCAUAACAAUAUUCCUUUCCCUUCUUAGUUAUUGUGAGAUAUGUUACUGAGUGGUCUGGAACCAAGAGCGCUUCCAGACUUUUAUUUUUUGGGUGGGAUUCAAUCACAUGCCAGCAAAUUCCGGUUGCACAAUGACAGUUGAUUGGGAGGUCUUGCACAAUAAACCCACUUGCAAUAAGGAAAGUUUCAGGAAAAUAACGCUUCCAUUGAUGUAACACCAUCUACUCUCCCUACAGACAAAUAAGAAUGUUCAAUGAAAGGUCCUCUGGAAGCGGCCCAAUUGGUGCAAUUUUUUUUGUUUCAUUUUAGAUUUUUACCACUAAAGCCUGUGCUUGCUUUCCUCCCCCUCCUUGGAGUGAGGCAGCUUACUGGGCAAAGUGAGCCACACAG
rnacentral:lncRNA from 1 species